AACUUUACAUGGUAUUACCCACUGAAGAGGGAAUUCAACAUAAAAACUAUCUUGGCCUCCAUCAAAGAGAUCACUGAAGCACCGAAAGGCCUCCAGGAUGUCGCAUCUUAUGAUAUACAGAGGGCUACAGUGUAUUCUGCAGAGUUGGGUUCAAAAAAGAAGAUAAAUGGAAGUUAUAGGGAAUUUCAGGAAACUGAAAGUUUCUUGAACCCAUGGCCAUCAACCCAUUGAAUGAAUGCUGCAUGUCCUUGAAGCACUUGCCACUUGCUGCAUGAGGACUCACCAGUGAAGCACCACUUCAUGACAGCCUGCAACUCUGGCCCCCAAACGUCAGUGUCCAGGGGUAUGGGGCUGGACCACGUAAAGGAUGCAUUUUGUAGAAAGGGAGGUCACGAGGUCCUGGCAUCCAAACAGGUUCCCAGAAGUACCUUGACAUCUCCCUACCAAAUGCAUGGUCACCCUAUUGCAAUAGUAGGGUGCUCACAUUCAUAUUCUCACUAUGGAUCCCAUGCUUUUUUUCAUUGUGUUGACUUCCUUUGCCAUGGUGGAGGUUUCAUGGUCUGAAAGGAUAGGAGCCUCAGCAUUUUAGCAUCAGUUGGUAGAGACUCUUCCUCCUUGCCUUCUGUCUAUCAAAUCACUGGAGCAGCAUCAAUGGAAGCCUCAAGCAAAGGUCUCAGGUAGCAAUCCCUGGGAUGUUCUGGCUCUGGUGUUCCUGAAAGUUUGCAACUAGGUUUAUAUCCCUUGGCUUAACGAUGGAAGGGUCCAAAAUCGUAAAUUCAAAGUACAAUAGAAGAAAAUAAUAAUUUAUCCAGUGACUGCAAUAAACACAGUCUGAUGUCUUAAAUUUAUUCCAUUGACUAUUCUUCAAACCAGAAGAGAUGUGUGUCAACAUAGAAAUGGUCUUUAUUAUGGGGAGCAAAUGCCAUGGGGACUGUUGAUUCUCCGUCACUGAAGCCAGUUUCUUAUUUGUGGGACAAGGAUGUCUUGCAAAAAGCUCUCUCCUGUAAGCUAAUGGCAACUAAUACCUUUGUAUCUACAUCUAGUAGUCUUGAUAUCAUAGUUUUUCCUGUCUUAGAUGAGGGGCCUCCUGUAGUCCCCACAAUGGGAUCCAGUUCUUUCUGCACAUUCGUGGAGCGACUUGGAGAACAGAAAGCUGGUUUGCUGAAGGACCACUGGGUAGAGAGGAAAAUGGGGCAGAUGAAGAACCUAGCAAAGAGUCUCCAAACAUUCAGUUCCUCCUUCUCAUAG
rnacentral:lncRNA from 1 species